AGAGUUUGAUCCUGGCUCAGGAUGAACGCUAGCGGCAGGCCUAACACAUGCAAGUCGAGGGGCAGCAUGGCGUAGCGAUACGCUGAUGGCGACCGGCGCACGGGUGCGUAACGCGUAUGCAACCUGUCCGGCGCAGGGGGGUAGCCCGUCGAAAGGCGGGGUAAUCCCGCAUGAACCGGUAUUCCCGCAUGGGGGUGCCGGCAAAGUGGAGACGCGGGGCCGGAGGGGCAUGCGUGCCAUUAGCUGGCUGGUGGGGUAACGGCCCACCAGGGCGAUGAUGGCUAGGGGGUCUGAGAGGAUGGUCCCCCACACUGGUACUGAGACACGGACCAGACUCCUACGGGAGGCAGCAGUGAGGAAUAUUGGUCAAUGGGCGGAAGCCUGAACCAGCCAUGCCGCGUGCAGGAAGGAGGCCCUACGGGUUGUAAACUGCUUUUACCCGGGAAGAAACCGCCCCCUGUGGGGGGCGUUGCCGGUACCGGGGGAAAAAGGAUCGGCUAACUCCGUGCCAGCAGCCGCGGUAAUACGGAGGAUCCGGGCGUUAUCCGGAAUUACUGGGUUUAAAGGGUGCGUAGGCGGGGCUUUAAGCCGGCGGUGAAAUGCAGCGGCUCAACCGCUGGAAUGCCGUUGGGACUGGGGCUCUUGGAUACGGUCGGGGCGGGUGGAACUCGUGGUGUAGCGGUGAAAUGCAUAGAUAUCACGAGGAACGCCGGUAGCGAAGGCAGCUCGCCGGGCCGGUAUUGACGCUGAGGCACGAAAGCGUGGGGAUCGAACAGGAUUAGAUACCCUGGUAGUCCACGCCGUAAACGAUGAUGGCUGGGUGUUGGCGAUAGACGGUCAGCGCCUGAGGGAAACCAUUAAGCCAUCCACCUGGGGAGUACGGCCGCAAGGCUGAAACUCAAAGGAAUUGACGGGGGCCCGCACAAGCGGAGGAACAUGUGGUUUAAUUCGAUGAUACGCGAGGA
rnacentral:rRNA from 1 species